UACAGAGGUCUCGAGCGUUGUUCGGAUUCAUUGGGCGUAAAGGGCGCGUAGGCGGCGGGGUAAGUCUGGUGUGAAAUCUAGGAGCUCAACUCCUAAACUGCACUGGAUACUGCUCUGCUAGAGGACUGGAGAGGAGACUGGAAUUCACGGUGUAGCAGUGAAAUGCGUAGAUAUCGUGAGGAAGACCAGUGGCGAAGGCGGGGUCUCUGGACAGUUCCUGACGCUGAGGGCGCGAAGGCCAGGGGGAGCAAACGGG
rnacentral:rRNA from 1 species